UACGGGGGGGGCAAGCGUUGUUCGGAAUUACUGGGCGUAAAGGGCUCGUAGGUGGCCAACUAAGUCAGACGUGAAAUCCCCAGGCUCAACUUGGGAACUGCGUCUGAUACUGGAUGGCUUGAAUUCGGGAGAGGGAUGCAGAAUUCCAGGUGUAGCGGUGAAAUGCGUAGAUAUCUGGAGGAAUACCGGUGGCGAAGGCGCCAUCCUGGACCGAGAUUGACACUGAUGAGCGAAAGCCAGGGGAGCAAACGGG
rnacentral:rRNA from 1 species